AACAAAAUGCGAUCAGAGUGGGCAGAUUUUGUUCAAGAACAUAUAAAUGAGUAAAAGGUAAUGUAUAUUUAUCUAGACUUUAAUUGUCAGUGAUAGUUGGGAAGAAUGGUGUUAUAUUUUGUAUGGAUCUUUGUGAAUUCAUUGGAAAAUAAGUUUGUGUACUAUAGUUUUAAUUGUUAAUUUGUUGUUGAUGAGUUUGGGACAUGUAUUAUUGUAAUGUAAUUAAUUGUGUAUUGACGGAAGAAUAACAUGUGGCUAAUUUGUUAUUUAUCAUUUUGAUUGUGAUUGUCAUUCAGAUUGUGUGAAGGCUAUAUGGUGAAGGCAAAGAAGACGAUACUGGACAUAUUGGUUGAUGCAACACAUUUUGAAGGAACGAAGGAGCAAUAAGUGUCAACUCAUUUGAAUGUUAGGAGUGAAUUUAUUUGGUAGUGGAUCCUGUUAACUCAUUUUAGUUAUAGUUAUUGUUAUGAUUAUUAACUUAUUUUGUAAUGGAUAUGGUAGACUUGAUUUGUUCGAAUCUUAAGUUAUAAUGAAUAUUGAAAUUUUAUCAUGAUUAUGUUAUAAAUGAAGAUGUUU
rnacentral:lncRNA from 1 species